rnacentral:lncRNA from 1 species
GACUGUUUCACUCAGCAACAGCAGAAUACACAUUCUUCUGAAUUGCAAAUGGGACAUUCUCUAGGACAGAUAACAUGUUAGGUCACAAACAAGUUUGACAGAUUUAAAGGACUGAAAUAAGACAAAGCAUCUUCUCUGACUGCAAUCUUUCUCUGGCUAGAAAUCAAAAAUAGAAGGAAAACUCAGUUUUCACAAAUAAUGUGGAACUUACACAACAUACAAUGGGCAAAAGAAAAACUUACAGCUGAAAUUAGAAAAUGCUUUUUUGGGAUAAAUCAACACAAAAAUAGAACAUAUCCAAACUUAUGAGACAUAGUGAAAAUGGUGUUCGGAGGGAGAUUUAUAGCAAUAUAUGCCUACAUUUUAAAAAGAGAAAAAGGAAUCUCCCAGAUCAAUCAUUUUACACAUUAGGGAACCAGAAAAAAAAAAGAACAAGCUAAGCCCAAAGUUAGCAGAAGAAAGGAUUAAUAAAGAUUACAGACAGAAAAAAAAAAGACAGAAAGAACAGAAAAAUAAUACAAUCAAUAAAACCAAAAUUUGGCUCUUUUAACAAGAUUAACAAAAAAUGACAAACAUUCAACUAGAUUUAACUAGACUGAGCAGAGAAAAAGAAGAGUCAGAUUAUGAAAACCAAUAAGAAACUAGGCCAUCACUAUAAACCUUAUAUAAAUAAAAAGAUCAUGAGAAUAAUAUGAUAAAUUAUACACCAACAAAUUAAAUAACCUAGAUGAACAAAUUCCUAGAAACAAACUACUAAAACUAACUCAAGAAGAAAUGGAAAAUCUGAGCAAAUUUAUAACGUUUUUGAAUUAGUAAUCAAACAUUAUUUCAACAAAAAUAAGCUCAGGGCAAGAUGGCUUCACUGGUGAAUUAUAACAAACAUUUAAAGAAAAAUUGGCGUGAGCCACUGCCCCAGCCCAAGACCCCGUCUUUAAAAAAAAAAAAGAAAGAAAGAAAAGAAAAGAAAAAAGGAAAGAAAAUUUGCAGAACAACAUCCCAGUGAAUAUACGGAAUGCAGAAAUCCUCAAAAAAAUAAAAUAAAAACUAAGAACCUACCAAAGCUUAGUCCAACUACCUUUUACACAGAUUAUACAUAUCAACCAUGUAGGAUUUAUUCCAGAAAUACAUGGCAAAUUGUGCAUACAAAAAAAAGAUCAGUCAAUGCUACAUUAAUACAAUGAAGGAAAAAAACCUAUAUGAUUAUCUCAAUUAAUGCAGAAAAAGCAUUUGACAAAAUCCAACACCAUUUCUUGACAAAAACACUCAACAAAAUAAGAAUAUAAGAGACUGUCAUCAACAGAAUAAUUAGCACUUAUGAAAAAGCCACAGCUAACAUCAUACUCAAUAGGGAGAGACAAAAACUGUUUCUCUCUAAGAUAAGAACAACAAGUGUACCUGCUUUCUACACACACCAUAUUAGAAAUUCUAGCCAGA